UCGAUUCGCUCUCGCCGCACCAACGGUAAAGUUCUCUCUCAGACUUUUGAUGGAGACUUAUGGAUCAUGGCUGGAUAUGGGAUUUACUGUGGUCAAGAAAUCUUCUACGUACUUAAUGUCCACCGACGGGGUCUAGCAUUUGAGGCAAAAGAGAAGAUUCCUUUGGAGGCACAAAAAAAAAAAA